rnacentral:rRNA from 1 species
UACGUAGGUGGCAAGCGUUAUCCGGAAUUAUUGGGCGUAAAGAGCGCGCAGGUGGUUAAUUAAGUCUGAUGUGAAAGCCCACGGCUUAACCGUGGAGGGUCAUUGGAAACUGGUUGACUUGAGUGCAGAAGAGGGAAGUGGAACUCCAUGUGUAGCGGCGAAAUGCGUAGAGAUAUGGAGGAACACCAGUGGCGAAGGCGGCUUCCUGGUCUGCAACUGACACUGAGGCGCGAAAGCGUGGGGAGCAAACAGG